rnacentral:rRNA from 1 species
AUGGGAUGAGCUGUGGAUCGGAGUGAAAGGCUAAUCAAGCACGGAGAUAGCUGGUUCUCCCCGAAAACUAUUUAGGUAGUGCCUCGUGUAUAACUCAUUGGGGUAAAGCACUGUUUCGACAAUGGGGGUUUUACGACCUUACUGACUCGAUGCAAACUCAGAAUACGAUGAAGUUCGAUCACGGGAGACACACUGCGGGUGCUAAGGUCCGCAGUGGAAAGGGAAACAGCCCAGACCGCCAACUAAGGUCCCAAAGUCAUAGCUAAGUGGGAAACGAAGUGGGAAGGCCCAGACAGCCAGGAGGUUGGCUUAGAAGCAGCCACCCUUUAAAGAAAGCGUAAUAGCUCACUGGUCGAGUCGGCCUGCACGUAAGAUUUAACGGGGCUAAGCUAUGCACUGAAGUUGCGGAAUAUAUUUAGUAUAUUGGUAGGGGAGCGUUCUGUAAGCCGAUGAAGGUGAAUUGAGAAGUUUGCUGGAGGUAUCAGAAGUGCGAAUGCUGACAUGAGUAACGUAAAAUAAGUGAGAUUCUUAUUGGCCGAAAACCCAAGGGUUCCUACGCAAUGUUAAUCAACGUAGGGUAAGCCGGCCCCUAAGGCGUAGCUGAAGAGUGAAGUCGAUGGGAAACAGGUUAAUAUUCCUGUGCUGCUUAUAUGAACGAAGGAGGGACGGAGAAGGUUAGGUAGGCCUGGCGAAUGGUUGUCCAGGUGAAAGUAUGUAGGUAGGAAUGCUAGGCAAAUCCGGUGUUCUGUUGAUCUGAGAUACGAGACGAAGUUAAACUUGUUUGACGAAGCUAUUGAUACCAUGCUUCCAGGAAAAGCUUCUAAGUAUAUUGUAUAAGUGACCGUACUGUAAACCGACACUGGUGGGUAGGUAGAGAAUACUAAGGCUAUGAGAUAACUCUGGUGAAGGAACUAGGCAAAAUGACACCGUAACUUUGGAAGAAGGUGUGCCCUUGAUGGUGAUGAGACUUGCUCUUUGAGCUGUUGGGGGUUGCAGAUACCAGGUGGCUGCGACUGUUUAUCAAAAACACAGCACUCUGCGAAAUCGUAAGAUGAAGUAUAGGGUGUGACGCCUGCCCGGUGCUGGAAGGUUAAUUGAAGGGGUUAGCGCAAGCGAAGCUCUGGAUCGAAGCCCCAGUAAACGGCGGCCGUAACUAUAACGGUCCUAAGGUAGCGAAAUUCCUUGUCGGGUAAGUUCCGACCUGCACGAAUGGCGUAACGAUGGCCACACUGUCUCCACCAGAGACUCAGUGAAAUUGAAAUCGCUGUGAAGAUGCAGUGUACCCGCGGUUAGACGGAAAGACCCCGUGAACCUUUACUAUAGCUUUGCACUGGACUUUGAAUAUUUAUGUGUAGGAUAGGUGGGAGACCAUGAAGCAGCUACGCCAGUAGUUGUGGAGUCGUCCUUGAAAUACCACCCUUGAAUAUUUGAAGUUCUAACUCAGGAGAGAUUCGAGGACAGUGUAUGGUGGGUAGUUUGACUGGGGCGGUCUCCUCCUAAAGAGUAACGGAGGAGUACGAAGGUGCACUCGGUACGGUCGGAAAUCGUGCCAAGAGUAUAAAGGCAAAAGUGCGCUUGACUGCGAGAGUGACGGCUCGAGCAGG